rnacentral:rRNA from 1 species
ACUCAAAGGAAUUGACGGGCACCCGCACAAGCGGUGGAGCAUGCUGUUUAAUUCGAAGCUACGCGAAGAACCUUACCUAGGCUUGACAUCCCCGGCAAAACUAUAGAAAUAUAGCGGAGGUUACCCGGGUGACAGGUGGUGCAUGGUUGUCGUCAGCUCGUGUCGUGAGAUGUUCGGUUAAGUCCGAUAACGAGCGCAACCCUUAUCAUUAGUUACUAACAUUCAGUUGAGGACUCUAAUGAGACUGCCGGUGAUAAACCGGAGGAAGGUGGGGAUGACGUCAAAUCAUCAUGCCCCUUACGUCUAGGGCUACAGGCGUGCUACAAUGGCCGAUACAAAAAGAUGCAAUAUGGUGACAUGGAGCAAAUCUCGAAAAUCGGUCCCAGUUCGGAUUGGAGUCUGCAACUCGACUCCAUGAAGUUGGAAUCGCUAGUAAUCCUGAAUCAGAAUGUCAGGGUGAAUACGUUCCCGGGUGUUGCACACACCGCCCGU